UGCUUAUAGAGAAAGGCGGAGGGAUUAGACCCUGCGAUGCCUUAGCAACCUGUACUUACAAGGUGCUACAUUCUACUCAGAACCACUCUUUUCAGGGUCUGGGACAGAUAAGCG
rnacentral:ncRNA from 2 species